AAAUCGUUCAUAGUGAACACCGAAGAGAUUUCGUCUAAAGACAUCGAUAAAUGCUGUGAUAGCAAACCCGAUUUAGAGAUUCUGAUAACAGAAGAACUUCCAACUUAUAACUGCACGAUAAACGACUUGAAGCCCGGUUCCACUUAUUCGAUCGGUGUAUUAUCAAAGACUUCAUCAUAUGGUCAAACUAAUAGAAUACACGUGACGACUCUAUCCACUCCUGCGGUCGCUGAAGACGUUGAAAAUGAUCAGCUAAUAACACUUGCAACGCAGACGUCAGACGAACCUAAAUAAUAUGUAUUUCCGCAAUUGACUUUGUGAAACUAUAAUAACGUAGAAUAUCAUUGCACCUUUAGAUUAACGUAUAGACUAUAGAAUAUUAUUGCACUUUAUGAUUCACGUGGAAGUUAUUUUUCAGGUACAUCUGCAGCUAUAUAUUGUUAUUUAAGUUUCGUUAAAUUUGUACUAUUAUUAUUUUA